UGGGGAAUUUUGGACAAUGGGCGAAAGCCUGAUCCAGCAAUGCCGCGUGUGUGAAGAAGGCCUUCGGGUUGUAAAGCACUUUUGUCCGGAAAGAAAUCCUUGGCUCUAAUACAGUCGGGGGAUGACGGUACCGGAAGAAUAAGCACCGGCUAACUACGUGCCAGCAGCCGCGGUAAUACGUAGGGUGCAAGCGUUAAUCGGAAUUACUGGGCGUAAAGCGUGCGCAGGCGGUUUGCUAAGACCGAUGUGAAAUCCCCGGGCUCAACCUGGGAACUGCAUUGGUGACUGGCAGGCUAGAGUAUGGCAGAGGGGGGUAGAAUUCCACGUGUAGCAGUGAAAUGCGUAGAGAUGUGGAGGAAUACCGAUGGCGAAGGCAGCCCCCUGGGCCAAUACUGACGCUCAUGCACGAAAGCGUGGGGAGCAAACAGGAUUAGAUACCCCUGGUAGUCCACGCCCUAAAACGAUGUCAACUAGUUGUUGGGGGAUUCAUUUCCUUAGUAACGUAGCUAACGCGUGAAGUUGACCGCCUGGGGAGUACGGUCGCAAGAUUAAAAACUUAAAU
rnacentral:rRNA from 1 species